UCCCUCUUUUUCUCUCUUUUUCCUUCCUCCCUUUUCUUCAAUAUCUCUCAUUCUUUCGUUCAAGUCGCGUGUGAAAGCCCCCGGCUCAACUGGGGAGGGUCACGCGAUACUGGUCGACUCGAAGGCAGGAGAGGGUAGUGGAAUUCCCGGUGUAGUGGUGAAAUGCGUAGAUAUCGGGAGGAACACCAGUGGCGAAGGCGACUACCUGGCCUGUUUCUUGACGCUGAGGCGCGAAAGCUAGGGGAGCAAACGGG
rnacentral:rRNA from 1 species